ACUCAAAGGAAUUGACGGGGGCCCGCACAAGCGGUGGAGCAUGUGGUUUAAUUCGAUGCAACCCGAAGAACCUUACCUACCCUUGACAUCCUUAGAAUCCAACUGCAAGGUUGGAGUGCCGAAAGGAGCUAAGAGACAGGUGCUGCAUGGCUGUCGUCAGCUCGUGUCGUGAGAUGUUGGGUUAAGUCCCGUAACGAGCGCAACCCUUGUCCCUUGUUGCUACAGGUUAUGCUGAGCACUCUAGGGAAACUGCCAGUGACAAGCUGGAGGAAGGGGAGGAUGACGUCAAGUCAUCAUGGCCUUUAUGGGUAGGGCAACACACGUGCUACAAUGGGGUAUACAAAGAGCUGCCAACCCGCGAGGGUGAGCCAAUCUUAAAAGUACCUCGUAGUCCGGAUUGGAGUCUGCAACUCGACUCCAUGAAGCUGGAAUCGCUAGUAAUCGCAAAUCAGCAAGUUGCGGUGAAUACGUUCUCGGGCCUUGCACACACCGCCCGU
rnacentral:rRNA from 1 species